GGGUAUUUGGUCUAUGGUAUGAUUCUCGCUUGGUGCGAGGUCCCGAGUUCGAUUCUCGGAAUGCCCU